rnacentral:rRNA from 1 species
AUUGAACGCUGGCGGCAGGCCUAACACAUGCAAGUCGAACGCGUGGCGGACGGGUGUGUAAUGUCUGGGACACUGCCUGAUGGAGGGGGAUCACUACUGGAAACGGUAGCAUAUCCCGUAUACCAUCGGAUGUGCCCAGAUGGGAUUAGCUAGUAGGUGGGGUAACGGCUCACCUAGGCGACGAUCCCUAGCUGGUCUGAGAGGAUGACCAGCCACACUGGAACUGAGACACGGUCCAGACUCCUACGGGAGGCAGCAGUGGGGAAUAUUGCACAAUGGGCGCAAGCCUGAUGCAGCCAUGCCGCGUGUGUGAAGAAGGCCUUCGGGUUGUAAAGUACUUUCAGCGGGGAGGCGUUACCCGCAGAAGAAGCACCGGCUAACUCCGUGCCAGCAGCCGCGGUAAUAC